CCUACGGGAGGCAGCAGUGGGGAAUAUUGGGCAAUGGGCGCAAGCCUGACCCAGCAACGCCGCGUGAAGGAAGAAGGCUUUCGGGUUGUAAACUUCUUUUGACAGGGAAGAGCAGAAGACGGUACCUGUCGAAUAAGCCACGGCUAACUACGUGCCAGCAGCCGCGGUAAUACGGAGGAUGCGAGCGUUAUCCGGAUUUAUUGGGUUUAAAGGGUGCGCAGGCGGAUUUUUAAGUCAGCGGUCAAAUCGUGGGGCUCAACCCCAUCCAGCCGUUGAAACUGGGGAUCUAGAGUGUGCGAGAGGUAUGCGGAAUGCGUGGUGUAGCGGUGAAAUGCAUAGAUAUCACGCAGAACCCCGAUUGCGAAGGCAGCAUACCGGUGCACAACUGACGCUCAGGCACGAAAGCGUGGGUAUCGAACAGGAUUAGAUACCCCUGUAGUC
rnacentral:rRNA from 1 species